GACGAACGCUGGCGGCGUGCUUAACACAUGCAAGUCGAACGGAAAGGCCCUGCUUUUGUGGGGUGCUCGAGUGGCGAACGGGUGAGUAACACGUGAGUAACCUGCCCUUGACUUUGGGAUAACUUCAGGAAACUGGGGCUAAUACCGGAUAGGAGCUCCUGCUGCAUGGUGGGGGUUGGAAAGUUUCGGCGGUUGGGGAUGGACUGGAGGCUUAUCGGCUUGGUGGUGGGGUAGUGGCUUACCAAGGCUUUGACGGGUAGCCGGCCUGAGAGGGUGACCGGCCACAUUGGGACUGAGAUACGGCCCAGUCUCCUACGGGAGGCAGCAGUGGAGAAUAUUGCGCAAUGGGCGGAAGCCUGAUGCAGCAACGCCGCGUGCGGGAUGACGGCCUUCGGGUUGUAAACCGCUUUCGCCUGUGACGAAGCGUGAGUGACGGUAAUGGGUAAAGAAGCACCGGCUAACUACGUG
rnacentral:rRNA from 1 species